rnacentral:rRNA from 1 species
CGCGUAGGCUGUGCUGUAAGUCAGGCGUGAAAGGCCCGGGCUCAACCUGGGAACUGCGCAUGAUACUGCGGCGCUUGAAGACGGGAGAGGAUGGCGGAAUUCCCAGUGUAGAGGUGAAAUUCGUAGAUAUUGGGAAGAACACCGGUGGCGAAGGCGGCCAUCUGGCCCGUGAUUGACGCUGAGGCGCGAAAGCGUGGGGAGCAAACAGGAUUAGAUACCCUGGUAGUCCACGCCGUAAACGAUGAGUGCUAGACGUCGGGGAGCUUGCUCUUCGGUGUCGCCGCUAACGCAUUAAGCACUCCGCCUGGGGAGUACGGUCGCAAGAUUAAA